rnacentral:rRNA from 1 species
GUGACGGAGGAAAUCGACUUUGCUUUGGGAGUAAGGAGGACACACGCCCACGCGGUACCGGAGUGGCGUCGUCGGCGGCGGCCGCUUCUUUGGGGGUGGUGAGAGCGGCUGUUGGUAUUCGCGGGAGCUGGAUCUGUGGGAGGCGCUUUAGAAGGAGACGGAGGGGAGAGAGGGCUCGGAGCAGGCGCGGCGGGAGUCGACGGCGUGGAAGGAGCUGCGGCAGGCAAGCAGGGGGCGAAGGCGCGCGAGGUAGGUGGGGGCGACGAUCCAGUAAAGGAGUGGUGGGUUCUGUGGUGGUAGGGGUGGAAGCACGGAGAGGCGUCGGCGAGGCUGGGCCUGUAGCGCCGCCGCCAUGCGCCGCCACUAAAGAAGGAGUGGGCGGAGGGCCAGGGGCUUCUGCCGCGGCACAGGCAAGGACAGGGGCGGGGGCGGGAGCUUCUGUUGCCGCUACCGCACAGACAAGGACAGGGGCGGGGGCGGGGGCUUCUGUUGCCUCUACCGCACAGGCAAGGACAGGGGCGUGGGCGUGGGCUUCUGCUGCCGCUCCUAUCGCAGAGACCGAGGCUUCUGUUGCUGCUCCUAGGGCAGGGGCUCACCAGUUAGCUCCUGACGGCGCUGCCUAAGCAACAAGAGCUGUUGACCUCGUGAGUCGUCUAGCGGCAGAUGUUGGGCGAGCGCGCUUGGGACCUGGAGAAGGGGGACGGCGGGGCGGCCCUCCUGACGCUCCCGGUCAUAAGACUAAUGAUGUAGGAGCGGCUCCUUCUUCUUCUUCUGAUGAACGGCAUAGCGCAGCACACGCAGACCGUGUCGUUUGCGCCCCGCGCGCGGUACCAAAAUAGUAGCCUGUGGUCGUUCACCGUCUAAAAGGGUACCCAUCUGUAACUACCCGAGACCGGAGUUUGACGAUUCGACCACUUACCGACGUAGAUAACCUGGUAACCCUACUUACUACGGGCACACGAAUUGUGACGAUGUUACGUUAAGAGAGCCUACCUAUUCGGCGGCGCGUCCUCUCCCUUACUCUAUAACUGCCGACCAUUCUGGUUCCUACCUUCUGAGACACACCAGACGCGUGGAAACCCCGGUGACUGUAAGCUUAGGCACGAACGACAAACCUAAGCCUCUCGGCUACUGCUACCGCAGCUCUCCACCUACAACCUAUUCAGUGAGGGCAACGUCCUCUAUCGACCUUAGCAAGCCACGCUUAAGUUCCUUCUGUUACAAUUUAUAGUUCACUGACAAUCCUGCUAAUAGCUACCUAAACACAUGAAGAGACGAAUAACACCCCACACCGUCGUAGUAGUAAGCUGUGAGACCGAGGAUAGGAAGACGAACCUUUGUCGCCGCGACUUGUUCGAACCCGCAUAGGAAUCACCACAAAGGAUAGGGAUGUAGUACGGCACCGGAACAAGAAACCAACCAUGUGUCGUUCGUUUGGUCGAAUAGGUCAAUUUCUGUGUGUUAAGAGAAGACACUAGAACUUAACUUGACUACAGACGAUUAAUUCGACGCAGUGACCCGAGGAGUCCGUUUCCACGUCUUCUUCUUUGUACACACGGCAAACAUUACCGUUGUACCAACCAAGUUUGAUUCCUAGAACUGACCCCUUAUUUCUUCGCCCCGUCGUUCAAACGUUCGUCCCGAAGUAGUUACACGACUUUAACAACCAAGUGUACGUCUUAGAUAUGAUAGACGUCAAUCUUGAACGUUACAGGACAGGCUUGAAGGCAUCUCGAGAGUUCCACACCUCGAUUACAGACAGUCAGAUACCUUACUUUGUGACUUGCUGGUCGGCAAGUACAUAACUUUGUCAAAGCCAUGUCGUUAAUCUC